GUUCGACCAUUUAUCCUAUUUAAAUUUUUUUCGAUUAAUAUUUUUAUUAUUACUAGAUGAUAAAAUAUGAAUAGUACGUUAUACGUGACUAAUUUUUUAGUUUUUGCAUAAUUUUUUUAAAUAAGACGAAUGGUCAAAC
rnacentral:pre_miRNA from 1 species